rnacentral:lncRNA from 1 species
GAGUUUCUUACUGACCGCUAAACCUGCUCCUUCUGAGAAUGGUUUUACCCCGCUCCUCAAUCUUAUUCUGUUUCCGAUCCUGCUUCAGAUUCUCUUUCAGUUGUGGAAACAAGCCCCUAUUCCUAUCGGUUGAGUAGCCCAAGCUCCUUAAGUAUUGAACCAGACUGACCCAGUGGAUAAAUCAGAAAUACAGAAACAAAAACAGUGAUUCUCCCCCAAAAAACUCUACAUGUGAUGUUCCGAAAACAGAAACAUGUGAUUUAGUAAAUUAGAACCCAUUGUGGGGUGCAACCAGGGAACAACUAUCAACUAGUUUGAAAAGUUCUUCCAUUUAGUAAUGGAAGUCAUCCGUUGUCACUUUCUAAGGGUAUGGUAGAGAGGCUUGAGAAGGUGGACAAUCCUUCAGUGAAGACCUAACGAGAGGCUGAAUUCAAACACACCCAAAAUCCACAAGA